AUGACCCCCCGACCGAUCAAAGCCCACUUGUGGCUGCAUCCCGGGCCCAGUGUCUAAGACCUGCUGCUGUCACCGCCACCACCAUGCCCAAGAGGAAGACCGAAGGGGAUGCUAAAGGAGAUAAAGCCAAGGUGAAGGACACACCACAGAGAAGAUCCACGAGGUUGUCUGCUAAACCUGCUCCUCCAAAGCCAGAACCCAGGCCUAAAAAGGCCCCUGCCAAGAAGGGAGAGAAGGUACCCAAAGGGAAAAAGGGAAAAGCUGAUGCUGGCAAGGAGGGAAAUAACCCUGCAGAAAACGGAGAUGCCAAAACAGACCAGGUCAGGAAAGCUGAAGGUGCUGGAGAGGCCAAGUGAAGUGUGUGCAUUUUUGAUAACUGUGUACUUCUGGUGACUGUACAGUUUGAAAUACUAUUUUUUAUCAAGUUUUAUAAAAAUGCAGAAUUUUGUUUUACUUUUUUUUUUUUUUUCCAGCUAUGUUGUUAGCACACAGAACACUUCAUUGCUGUUUUUUGGGGAAGGGGCAUAUGUCACUAAUAGAAUGUCUCCAAAGCUGGAUUGAUGUGGGGAAAACACUUUUCCCUUCUGGUUUUGGGAGACUUCCUCUUGGCUCCCAGGAGGAGGAAUUCCCUGACUUUCAUACACAUGACCACCUUGGCACAAAAGCCUUAGGGUAUGGAAAAACCAAUUCAUUUUUAUGUCCUCUUCUCCCUGUCCAUCUUUCAGCAUAGACUUAACUCUCUUAAGCCUAGACAUCUGUUGGGACCUGAUCCCCAGUCAUUUGUUACCAGUGCAUCAGGCAAUCUGGACUUUCCAGGGAUGCCACUGAGAGGACACCUGUCUAAACAGC